rnacentral:rRNA from 1 species
AUUCCGGAGAGGAGCCUGAAAACCGGCUACACAUCUACGAAGGCAGCAAGUUCGCGAUUACCCAAUCCUGACACAAGGAGGUACUGACAAGAAAUUUCAAUACAGGGCUUUCGCCUUGUCAUUGGAAUGAAGGAGACGUAAAAGCUCCCGCCAGUACCAAUUGGAGGGCUAGUCUGGUGCCAGCAGCCGCGGUAAUUCCAGCUCCAAUAACCUAUAUUAAACUUGUUGCAGUUAAAAAGCUCGUAGUUGUAUUUCAGCCCCUCGAUUUUUCCCUUUUUG